CAUUUCUAGCUUGCUAGAAGAUGACGAGCGGCGGACGGGUGAGUAAUGCUUGGGAAUAUGCCUUAUGGUGGGGGACAACAGUUGGAAACGACUGCUAAUACCGCAUAACGUCUACGGACCAAAGGGGGGGAUCUUCGGACCUCCCGCCAUUUGAUUAGCCCAAGUGAGAUUAGCUAGUUGGUGAGGUAAUGGCUCACCAAGGCGACGAUCUCUAGCUGGUUUGAGAGGAUGAUCAGCCACACUGGGACUGAGACACGGCCCAGACUCCUACGGGAGGCAGCAGUGGGGAAUAUUGCACAAUGGGCGAAAGCCUGAUGCAGCCAUGCCGCGUGUGUGAAGAAGGCCUUCGGGUUGUAAAGCACUUUCAGUUGUGAGGAAAGGUGGGUAGUUAAUAGCUGCUCACUGUGACGUUAGCAACAGAAGAAGCACCGGCUAACUUCGUGCCAGCAGCCGCGGUAAUACGAGGGGUGCAAGCGUUAAUCGGAAUUACUGGGCGUAAAGCGUUCGUAGGCGGUCUAUUAAGCAAGAUGUGAAAGCCCAGGGCUCAACUUUGGAACUGCAUUUUGAACUGGUAGACUAGAGUACUGUA
rnacentral:rRNA from 1 species